AUACUCCUUGUUCGUUUUGACUUUUGAGGGUAAUACUCCAUUGUAUUUCUUCGAGGCCAUACGCCCAUAUCCCUUGUUCGUUUUGAGGCCAUACCAGUUAUUUGUUUCAUAGAGCAAAGUUGGCUUUAUUAAGUCGAGUAAAAAAUGUCCUUAAAAAAAAAAAAUCGAGCUAAAAGUUGCACAUGGGUUUGCUUAUUCCCUUGAAAUUUGAUUAAGAAAAACUAACCUCUACCACGUUGGGCUGGUAGACCCAGUAACUUCAAUUCAUCAAACCACUCAAUUCGAAUUCGCUCAACUCCUCCCCUCUCAUCAUCUUCACCGGGUGAAGGUCCUUGAGAAAUCAUGAAUUGGGUGCAACGUAAGAUCUACUUAUACAAUGUUACUUUUGGACUCUAUAUGUUAGAUUGGUGGGAGCGUUACCUUUUCAAUACACUAAUCAUUGUCUUAAUGUGGUUUAUUUUCUACAAUGGGCUACGACAAGUAUCUGAAUUCUGGAACAGGUAUCUAGGGGGAGGUGCGUAGAUUUCUCUUUCAAAUGGAUGAAAGUAAUUAAAGUUGAUACUGGACAUAACUUCUGAUGUAUUGCUAAUUAUUCAUAGAUCCUAUUCAUUGUACCUUAAUCAAAUUUUAUUUUGUUUCUUUUACAAAUUAGUUUCUCAAUAUAAACGAAGGAUUGUUGAUUUGGAUUUUGCUCUCCAGUUAUAUAUUGAUCUUUUACGUUAAUUACAUGUUAAUAUUGUAUUUUGAGAGUGGAUCUCUGUGAAAAGGGUCAUUGUGUACAAAUUACUAUGUACCGUCUUCAAUUAUACGAAAGAGAGCAAUACAUUGCAAGUUUUUUUA